GGGAAAUGGUUGAAAAGACCCGGCCUUCGUGGCCUCCUCAACGGGGAGUAGGUUCAUUGGAACCGAACCUCGAGAAACAAAUCAUCGUGUUCAUUUGUGAUUGAUCAUUACUCUACAAUUUGAUUCUUUCUCUCCCUGUCUCUAAGUUCUCUUGCUCACAAUCUUUUGAGUUAGCUCCCAAAGUUAUCUGUAUUGAUUGAGCAACUCAUAGCAAUAGCAACUCUCUUCCGCACUCCAUAUUCAUUAUAAUUUGUUUCUAAUCCUAACCCCGGGUGAAGUUCGUGUUCAAAGUCUAUAAUUUACAGGGUUCAGGGUUUAUAGGUUUCGCCUCUAUGCGACUUUCAAUGCAGCGCAGGAGGACGAUGAUGACGCUUAGCAGGAUGGCUUAGGUUCUAGCGCCUCAGGUUAGAGGAACAUCUACCUGCAAGGUCCCGCGAGUCUCACUCAGCGUCCCAUACUUCGAGACGAGCGGCCGCUGAUUCGG
rnacentral:lncRNA from 1 species